AAUGAACGCUGGCGGCAGGCCUAAAACAUGCAAGUCGAACGCCCUAGCAAUAGGGAGUGGCGCACGGGUGAGUAACACGUGGGAAUAUGCCUUUUGGUACGGAACAACGUCUGGAAACGGACGCUAAUGCCGUAUGGUCCCUUCGGGGUAAAGAUUUAUCGCCAAAAGAUUAGCCCGCGUCUGAUUAGCUAGUUGGUGAGGUAAUGGCUCACCAAGGCGACGAUCAGUAGCUGGUCUGAGAGGACGAUCAGCCACACUGGGACUGAGACACGGCCCAGACUCCUACGGGAGGCAGCAGUUAGGAAUAUUGGACAAUGGACGCAAGUCUGAUCCAGCCAUGCCGCGUGAGUGAUGAAGGCCUUCGGGUUGUAAAGCUCUUUAGUCCACGAUUAUAUUGACUGUAGUGGAAGAAUAAGCCCCGGCUAACUUCGUGCCAGCCGCCGCCGUAACAC
rnacentral:rRNA from 1 species